UUGGUGAUAGGUUAACUCUAGAGGCCCCUCCCCCUGAUCCUCCCUGUCUGUCUCCUUAUAGGUGGGUCCUGCAGCCUCUCCUCUCCUCACACUCCAACCCUGCUCAUCUCUCAGCUGGACAGUAAGGGCCGUUCACACCUCACACUGACAACAUGCUGGGGACACUCUGCACUCUCUUCACUGCUCUAACAUAUGUCAGUUGCCAGAAAGCAGUGACACAGACACCUUCAGUACUGACUGUCAGUACAAAGGGGACUGCUACUUUUCACUGUGACAUCACCAAAGAUGAAG